rnacentral:antisense_RNA from 1 species
GAGUGAGAAGAGGUGGGAGGAAGAGAAACUACGCCACCUCCCCUGCAGCCGAGUGCACGCAGCAGCCUGGCGUGACAAGUGGGCGACGCCGGGGGGCAGGGAGCCAGGGUCCUUGGCCCUGGACGGGGACCCCACCGCCCACCGCGCGGAGGACAACUUUUAGCCGGCAGCCCCGGCCAGCGCGGCACCUGUCUCCGGAGUCUCCACCGCUCCUCCCGAUCCAUCCCAAGGAAAUUCUCAAGAAUACGCUCUACAAAUCUACGUGCGCAUCGUUUUCCCCUCGCGUCGCGCCCGGGAGGAAGGAACCAGGCAAGGAGCUAAAGCAGCGUGCGUUCAGCCCUGGGGAGGAAAAUGGAAGAAACGGAGAUACUUUUAGUGAAACAGAAUAAACCACUGAACAGGAAAAAUGAGGAAGCUGUGAGUAUCAGUGGAAGGAACGAGCCAGGAAGAGGGACUGGAACCAUCUCAGAAGCCAUGCCUCUCAGGCUGGAACUUGCCCUGUCUCCUUGCAGAUGAGACAGACAUUUAAGUACGGGAAAGCUAAUGGCGCAGAUUCUGCUGACUGUGUGGCUCUCGUCUUAAUGCGUUUUCCAACCUUGAACCUGAGAAUGCCAGG